GUGCGUGGAAGGCCCUCCAGUGGAAACUGCGGGUCUGUCAUUCUACCUCUCAUGUUUCUUUCUUUCUUCCUUUAAAAAAGUUUCUUUUUUUUUAAGCUGCAAAAACUUCAGAAAGGAGCGAUAGUUAUUAAUUGCUCACUCCUUCACAUGAAUAUGCUCAGCAGAUCCUAUGUAGCAGGAACUCCUAUGACAAGUGGCCUGGGAACCCCGGGCAUUGGGGUGGACAGGGAGGAAGCGAGCAGGGCGGGGCUGCAGGACAGACAGUGCGGCCACAGCUGGACCGUGGAUCGCCGGGACCCAGAGGGGGGGCACCUCAUCUUGUCCACAUGACUCGGGGUGUCUACCAUGCUUCUCUCUGUGGACCCUGCGUUCUGGGAGGCAGGAGAGGACGCCGCCCUAGCCAAAAACCAGAGGGGAACACAAACUAGACCACUGGGCCACAUUUAAGAAUCUGGCCCCAGAGCUGGGAGGAUGCCUUGCCACCAAAGCCAGGGUUGGGUCCCUCUGACCUGCUGUCCUGACCCCAGACAUGGAUGGGGAGGUCCAUCAGCCACACCAUGAGGGGCAGGGUUUAAAGCAGCCCCUCCCCAGAAAGGACAGAUAGAUAAAAGAUGGAUAAAAGAAAGGGACCCCUCUGUCCCGGAGCAGCGACGGCCCCCCGGCUCUGCCACCCCCACCUGACCCUCGCUCACCAGCCCGCACCCCGGGUCUGAGCCCUGCGGCAAGCGCCGGGCGGGCAAUCAUCCCUGCACCGUGCGGCUCCAGCCUCAGCGAGCGCUCUGCACGGAGGAGACGGCACAGAACACAGACGACUUAAAUCUGAACAACAGACAAAACCUGUGAAAACAGUUUUGCAUUCGCGCCAAAAGGGCAGGUGGCAGUGGCUUCCUUAACCCUCCGUAGCCAGCCUUGUUCCCAAGCAGCCCCAGCGGGCAGGCGACGGCUCAGCCACACAGCAGGGGCGACGUGACCCCACCUUCCUCCCGGUAGUCGCAGGCCAGGCAACUCAGAGCGAAAUGAAAUCAAGCCGUGCGCAGUCUGCCACUUAGGAGUGAGACCCCCCCAGGCAGCGGGUCGAAGGCCGUCCGCGGGUCUCCUUUCCCUGCCCGCCAGGGGUGGCUUCCAGGAAAGGCCCUGUGCCCUGCCAGCGGACGCCCGAAAUUCCACCACGACUUGUUAAGCCCUUGGUUCUGCCAGCUGUUCAGCUGCACCUGGGGAAGAGCAGCGGGCAUUCUGGCUCAGCGCUAAGUAGGAGCAGCGCACGGUGACAGCCGGCUAAACCGAGAGGCUGAGCGAGGCCCCGUGUCCUGUCUGCAUUUCCCGUGUGGAUCUCAUGGAGCCCUCAGAGCCUCAGGAGGGACAGCCUUUUAUUGUCCCCAUUUCUCAGGAAAGGAAAGGUUAAGGCGUUCACCCAGGAUUCCAGUAGUGGGGGCGAAGCUGAAGCAUCAGUCCCACAUCCCAGCCUCUCGCACUGUCCCUGGCGGCCGCCCCGCGGGGCUCAUUGGAGAGGAAGCGCCCAUCUCUCCGCCUGUGGCGACUGAGGACCGUCACAGACUUCCCUGGGCCUCAGGGACUUCCUCUUUAAAGUGCUGUCGUGGCCCAAACUGCAGCUCCCACAAAACCCACGCUGAAACCCUGACGCCAGCACCUCCGUAGCCAUGCUUGGAGACAGGGCCUUCAAAGAGGUGAUCAAUUAAAGCGAGCCCAUUCAUCCAAUGCAACUCAAGUCCCUCAUCAGAACAGGAAACUUAUUAAUUUAUCUAUUUUUUUUGAGCAGUUUCAUGUUUAUUUUGUUUUUUUAUUGAAGUAGAGUCAGUUUACAAUGUUCUGUAAAUUUCUAGCGUACAGCAUAGUGAUUCAGUCAUACAGAUACAUACAUAUAUUUGUUUUCAUAAUCUUUUUCAUUAUAGGUGACUACAAGAUAUUGAAUAUAGUUCCCUGUGCUGUACAGUAGGACCUUGUCAUUUAUCUAUUUUAUAUACAGUAGUUAGUAUCUGCAAAUCUUGAAGUCCCAAUUUAUCCCUGCCCACCCCCUUUCACCCUGGUAACCAUCAGUUUGUCUUCUGUCUGUGGGUCUGCUUCUGCUUUGUAGAUAAGUUCAUUUGUGUCUUUUUUCUCUCUUUCUUUUUUUUAGACGCCACAUAUGAGUGAUGUCAUAUGGUAUUUUUCUUUCUCUUCCUGGCUUACUUCACUUAGAAUGACAAUCUCCAGGUCCAUCCAUGCUGCUGAAAAUGACAUUACUGUAUUCUUUUUUAUGGCUGAGUAGUAUUCCAUCAUAUAAAUAUACCACAACUUCUUUAUCCAGUCAUCUGUUGAUGGACAUUUACUUUGCUUUCGUGUCUUGGCUACUGUAAAUAGUGCUGCUAUGAACACUGGGGUGCAGGUGUCUUUUCACAUUAGAGUUCCCUCCAGAUACAUGCCCAGGAGUGGGACUGCUGGAUCACAUGGUAAGUCUAUUCCUAGUUUUUUGAGGAAUCUCCAUACGGUUUUCCACAGUGGCUGCACCAAACUGCAUUCCCACCAGCAGUGUAGGAGGGCUCCCUUUUCUCCACAGCCUCUCCAGCAUUUAGUGUUUAUGGACUUUUGAAUGAUGGCCGUUCCGACUGGUGUGAGGUGAUAUCUCAUAGUAGUUUUGAUUUGCAUUUCUCUGAUAAUUGGGGAAAUUGAGCAUUUUUUCAUAUGCCUAUUGGCCAUUUGCAUGUCUUCAGUGGAGAAUUGCUUGUUUAGGUCUUCUGCCAUUUUUGUAUUGGAUUUUUUUUUGUUGUUAUUAAAUUGUAUGAGCUGUUUCUAUAUUCUGGAAAUUAAGCCUUUGUCAGUCACAUCAUUUGCAAAUAUUUUUUCCCAUUCUGUAGGUUAUCUUUUUGCUUUGCUUAUGGUUUCCUUUGCUGUGCAAAAGCUUAUAAGUUUAAUUAGGUCCCAUUUGUUUAUUUUUGCUUUUAUUUCUAUUGCUUGGGUAGACUGCCCUAGGAGAAUGUUGCUAGGGUUUAUGUCAGAGAAUGUUUUGCCUGUGUUUUCUUCUAGGAGGUUUAUGGCAUCUGGUCUUAUAUCUAAGUCUUUAACCCAUUUUGAGUUUAUUUCCUUGUAUGGUGUGAGGGAGUGUUCUAGCUUCACUGACUUACAUGCCAUGUCCAGUCUUCCCAACACCGCUUGCUGAAGAGACUGUCUUUUCUCCGUUGUGUGUUCCCACCUCCUCUGGCCGUAAGCGUGUGGGUGUAUUUCUGGGCUCUCUGUUCUGUUCCAUCGAUCCGUAUGUCUGUUUCUGUGCCAGUACUGUGCUGUUUUGACGACUGUAGCUCUGUAGCGUUGUCUGAAGUCUGGAAGGGUUAUGCCUCCAGCUUUGUUCUUUUUCCUCAGGAUGGCUUUGGCAGUUCCGGGCCUUUGCGAUUCCUUAUACGUUUUAGGGUUCCUGGUUCGAGCCCUGUGAGGCACGUCCUGGGUGGUCUGACAGGGUCACGUUAAGUCUGCAGGGGGUUUGGGCAGUGUGGCCACUUUACCAGUAUUAAUUCCUCCCAUCCAGGAGCGUGGGGUGUAGUUCCACUUCUUUGUCGUCUUUAAUUUUUUAAUCAAUGUUUACGGUUCUCCACGUAUAUGUCUUUCACUUCCUUGGUCAGAUUUAUUCCUAAGCGUUUCAUUUUUUUGGACGUGAUUUUAGAAGGGAUUGUUUCUUUACUUCCUUUUCUGGUAUUUCAUUGUCCGUGUAGAGCAACGCCCCGACGUCUGUGUGUCGCUCUUGUGUCCUGCUGCCUUGCCGAAUUCUUUCGUCAGCUCCAGUAGAUCCGUGUGGGGCCUGUAGGGUCUUCUGCAUGCAGUACCUUGUCACCCACAUACGGCGACAGUCACCUCUUCUAGAGUCUUCUAGAGGAGGAAAUGCAGGCCCACGGGGGGACACUGGGGCGUGUGUGCACAGGGGAUGGCCACGCGAGGACUCGGCGGGAAGGCAGCGUCUGCCGGUUGAGGAGAGACCUCAGGAGAAACCAGCCCUGUGGCACUUGAUCGCGGACGUCUAGCCUCCAGGAUGGGAGAAGGUGACUCUCUGCUGUUCAAGCCUCCCCGUCUGCGGUGCUUUUCAUGGCAGCCUGAGCCGGCUCACACAAGUGGGGAGGCUGGGUGCCACGUCUCUAAGCCAGAGGCUCUCCGGCUCUUCCUGCAGGUGUCUGCGGACCUCCCGGGGAUCUCACUGCAGUUUGGCAGGGCUGGGUGAGCCUGCAUUUCCAACACUUUCCCAGGGCCUGUGAUGCUGCAACCAGCUCUGGCUUCACCGCCCAGACACCUGACUCAGCAUCAUGCUGUCCCCUCCCUGCCCGGAAUCUAGCUCAUCCCAGAAGAGGAGGUGCCCUUUAGCUAAAUGAGGAUAAUAAAACUAUCAAUGGCUCUCAUGAGGACGGAAAUAACACCACUGCCUCCUGAAGCACCUCAGCUCUGCGUUCCUGCUCCGUAAUACUCCUUCCUCCUUGGCUUAUGAUUUUGCCUGAAAACGGACUGUUUCCCCUUGGCUCUGCCCCACCUCCCUGGCUGGAGCUGAGGCUGAGGGGCCGGCGCUCCACAAGCCCGAGGGGCUGCCAUGGUGACCUCCCCGCUUGGCUUCAGGACUCAGUGAGUGGACCGAACCUUUCCUUUGUCCCAGCUACCCGGCUGUGCAGCAUAUUUACCACGAGGCGACUGCUGCACAUCUGAAAAAAGCUGGAUGAUAGGUUAUCGCACGUUGGAGAGAAAAGUUGGAAACGAUACAAAUCGCUGGCAAAAGAGAGCUGCUGGGUAAGUCGCGGUCCGUCCAUGUAAAACUGCACUGUGUGGCUAUUAAGGUGCGACAGGUCUGUGGUUACGGACAGGAAACGGUGCCAUGACAUGCCGUUAAACGAAGAAAGCAGGUUAUGGAACAGCACAAAUCUUGUAACGCCGUCUGUAUAAACCUGUGUUCCUUCCGACUGCUCACGUUUACGGCCAGAAGCGUGUUGGGAAGGGCGCUCCCCUCAGGCUCGGCGGUCUCUCUGUGGACGGUGGGUCCACAUCACGGGAUCUGCUUUAUUUUCUCCCUUCUGCUUUUCUGUAAUGAGCGUGUGUGUUCUUACCAGCACUUAAUUAAUUGAUUUUUUAAAAAAACUAAAGCAGCAAUGCCAUUGAAAGGAAAUAAAUGAACGGGCCCUCCCACUUGGCCAGUUCUGGAGAAACAACCAUGUGAGCCAGCCCAGGGGCUGCGAAUGUUGGCGUGCCCUCACACCCACUGAGCGGGUCAGCCUGCCUGCUGGCCCCGGGCAAUGCUGGCCUUGCAGUCCCCCAUUCAGGGUCCCUGGGGCCAGGUUCUAAAGCCAAACAGCUCCCCGUUACGGCCAGGUGAAGGCGGAGGCAGGAGGGGCGCCCUGCACUGGGAGCACCGCGAGGUCGUCAGUACUAGGCACACAGUAAGAGCGUGCUGUGCACCAGGCCCUGCGCUAGCCCUGGAGGUACCUGGAGGUCCCGGCAGACGCAGGCCGCCCCCAUCCCCCCGGGACUCCGGUCUAGUGGAGGGAGAGCCCAGGAAGGGCCAGGAAACCCCAAUGACCCCUCAGAGCUCCUGCAAGGCUCUGCCCUCCUGACUCAUGGGCCACACUUUGUGCUUCUACGACAAAACUAUGGAGUCCCUUCUGGAAGGUCCUGGGGACGCCACUCCCUGCAAGGCACCCCCUAAGCUCCCACCAGCCUUGCUGCCCACUCGCACCCCGUCAGCCCUCGCGGUCCUGAGCACGCCGGGCUUUAACACUUCACGCUUUCGCACCUGCAUCCUCGGGGACAGACGCCUCUGCCUCCACUGUCUCUUCUGGAUGAAACUCUUCCCAUUCCUCCGGGCUGAACUCAGCAUCACUUGAAAGGGUCUCUGUCAUCCCCUUUGCAAACCUCACAGUGAAACACAAGGCUCUGGCUCCCCUCAGGUCUGUCUUGCUCACUGCUAGGCCCGAGAUGCCCGCCCCAGCGCCGGCGCAGCGCCACUGCGGAAUGAGUGCAUGCUCACUGAGCAGCCGGACGGCUCUGCGCACGGCCGCACCCUGGAGCCCAGCGGCAGGGUCGGGCCCAUCUGUCUAGGAACCUCCACCUAGCGGCUGCACACUCUGUUCAAGAAUCCCGCACCUCCAUGCCAAAAUGGUCUACUUUGCUUGCUCUAACAUUUCUAAGAUCUGAAAUCUCAGAUCAACUGUAAAGAAAUUUUUGAGAGAUUUGGGAAAACCUGAGCACUGAAUAUUUUAUAAUAACAAGAAAUGACCCAUUCUUAAGAUGUGAUAAUUGUAUGGUGGUUACACUUUUUAAAGGGCCCUUUUCACUUAGAGAUGAACGCCGCAGCAAGCCCACGGGAAAUGACACGGAGUCCAGCUGGAGCAGGGCGGGUGGGCGCUGCGGGUGGAACGAGGUCAGCUGGCCGUGAGUUGAUGACUGUUGAGGCCGGGCGUGGAAGUUCAUUAUACCAAUUUCUCAAUGUGUGUGUGUUCUUAAAAGGAGACGAUCACGAUGAAAAAAACAAAAAAUGCUGAAAUGUGAAAUAUGCUUCAGCCGUUGCACAGCAGCACACAAAGCAAAACGCUGUUGCAAGAGUAGUUAUUACUGCUCUGUUCCCAGGCUUUCCUAACGUGUGGGACACCAACGUGACAGCCGUGAAACGCACACAGGAAGCAUUGCACCAAAAUCUCCACCCGAACGAGCUGAAGCUGAAGAGCUUCAGGACAAACCAGAAAUGCCUUAGGGACAAAACCCACCUCCUUAUAAAUAAAAGACUGCAGCCCCAGAAAGAAAAGUCAAAAGGCCUUGUCAGCGGAAAAUGCCCGCGAUAUCUCACAAGCAUAUCUUCUCCCCAGCUAGAGGUGAGUCCGGAAAAGCUUCUUCCAGAGAAUUUUAUAGGAAAAAAGACACAAGUGACAUAAGGAUCCUGCCAACCUUGGUUUUAAGAUCCUGCUUUAAAAGGGAUCAAAUGACAUUUCACCUUCCGUUUUUCAUGGUUAGAUUUUGUGUUUUUGAGGUGUGUAGGUUUCAGUGUCUUAAAUAGUUCAUUUUUGUUUAUCUGCUAAUACAGGCCAGGGUUACAAGGUCUGUUUUUAUAAGUUUGUGUUCACUUGAUGUUCUAAAAUGUUACACAUUUUCUGUCUUUAAAAUUAUUAAAUAUUUUCUUGGACUGAUGAAA